rnacentral:SRP_RNA from 1 species
AGCCGGGGUGGCAGCGGUACCUUGUACCUGCAAUCCGCUAUAGCAGGGGUCAUAGCCUGGCUAAGGGCUAAGUUGUUGGAGCUGCCCGCUCUGGGCGGUGUUGAAGCCCGGGUCUUUCGCAAUGGGAACUCGUGAACCGUGUCAGGUCAGGAAUGAAGCAGCACUAAGCGAUGUUUCUCGUGUGCCGGAAGGCAACCUGGGCCGAGCAAGCCGGAGCGGUAACGUCUGGUGAUGAAGUUCG